ACAGGAGUUCCCCAUAGCCCACACCCUGACUGGUUAUUCCUCAGGUAAAGCCAGGAGCCUGCUGCCUGCCCACAAAGCUUCAGAAUUCUGAUUUCUUGCUGCCUCUUUGCUCAAACCUGUUGUGCAAGGAAUUAAUCCAAGUAUGGAUUAGUGCUGGAUCCUACAGAGCUCUGCCACAGUCCUCUCCACUUUGAAAUGAAUUAAGAGCUUGAAGAUUGAAUUUGUGGAUGUGAAAAAUCAGAAAAAGAUGUAAAUGCUGUUUUCCUGAGGCCAAGGGAGCUCUGCAUCAAAGUGAAAAGCUACGGUAAAACCCUCUGCAAGCUCCUCUGGACAGCAGCAGCACCCUCAGCACUGCUCAGCACCAGCUGAAAAUGCUUAAAUGUGGAUUUUCAUCUUGGUUGUGAACGCUGAAACCUGAGAUGGUCAUGGAGAAUCCUGCCACGUGAUUAAUCAAUUCAGAGAGAGAAAAUUUGUGAAAUAAACCCCAACAGUGCCAUGUUCCUGUGCUGGGUACCCUACAGUGGGAGUGGAUGAUGGAGCCAAGGUAGAUACAACACCAGAGGAAGAGAGAAAAAACCCAACUCAUCUGCCAAAUAUAGGCAAGACAUCCCACAAAAUGCAUAGAAAUGAGGAUGAUUUUCCUGUGCUUGAUCAAAGAGUUGAAUUAAUUUGUGUCAGAAGUUGGAUUCCAGAAAGCACUUAUUAAAAGUG
rnacentral:lncRNA from 1 species